UAGGGAAUCUUCCACAAUGGACGCAAGUCUGAUGGAGCAACGCCGCGUGAGUGAAGAAGGCUUUCGGGUCGUAAAACUCUGUUAUUGAAGAAGAACGUGCGUGACAGUAACUGGUCAUGCAGUGACGGUAUUCAAUCAGAAAGUCACGGCUAACUACGUGCCAGCAGCCGCGGUAAUACGUAGGUGGCAAGCGUUGUCCGGAUUUAUUGGGCGUAAAGCGAGUGCAGGCGGUCUUUUAAGUCUGAUGUGAAAGCCUUCGGCUUAACCGAAGAAGGGCAUCGGAAACUGGGAGACUUGAGUGCAGAAGAGGAGAGUG
rnacentral:rRNA from 1 species